rnacentral:lncRNA from 1 species
UCUAGUGUCCUCUCUAAUCUCUGUAAUCGCGUUGUUCUGCAAUAGCCUGUCCAAGAACAGGAAAGAUGAUGAACACUUGCCCAUCUUUCAAAUGUCUAGAGGCUAGAGCGAUACAUUUUCAAAGAAAAUGUACUGAUAAAUCUGAGCGACGAGCUUACACAGAUUGUGGCCACUGACGACGGAUGCUCCUCGACGGAGAGAUGGACCGGCAUAGUGUCAGUGCCAGAACUAUCCAUCAGCUCUAGAAAAAAUUGACCAUUCACAACCCCUUCUAGGCUUCUACCUCUCUGUAAUCUUACUGUAACUCUAGCCUUUUCCCAUGGAUCAAUCUCAAUUCUCUAGUGUCCUCUCUAAUCUCUGUAAUCGCGUUGUUCUGCAAUAGCCUGUCCAAGAACAGGAAAGAUGUUAAACACUUGCCCAUCUUUCAAAUGUCUAGAGGCUAGAGUGAUACAUUUUCAAAGAAACUGUACUGAUAAAUCUGAGCGACGAGCUUACACAGAUUGUGGCCACUGACGACGGAUGCUCCUCGACGGAGAGAUGGACCGGCAUAGUGUCAGUGCCAG